GGAGGGAUGGCCGAGUGGUUUAAGGCACCGGUCUUGAAAACCGGCGUACGGUCAAACGUACCGUGGGUUCGAAUCCCACUCCCUCCG
rnacentral:tRNA from 1 species